UGAUCAUCUAGUUUCAGCCCCCCCUACCACGGGUAGGGUUGUCAGUCACUAGACCAGGCUGCCCAGAGCCACAUCCAGCCUUUCAUGUUGAAGACACUGAGAGCAUCAUCACGUGCUAUGGAGAUGGCACCUACAGAAACAAAUUGACGUCAUUCACAUCCCAAAGCUGUUUGCAGGCUGCCUGCAAACUUGCUCAGUGCUGCAACACUAGACUUACUCUUUCUUUUGAAAUUUGCCGCAGAGCCCUGGCAGCAAAGCACUUAUUUUUUCCCAAGAAACCUGAAGUGCUGAAAAGCAGCUAGAGGGUUCUGCCAACCCUUCCCUUUCAUCUCCUUGCUAAGGCUCCCUGCUUCCCACAAUACAACAGUAACAACGCUCAAACUCACCCAGCUUAACUAGUUUUUGCUGCCAACCUAUAGGACAGCUCUCUGAUAGCACUGAGACAAGAAGAGAAACUUUCUCAGCUAUGCCUGGCAGUUGGAGAAGUGGGUGAAAAUGGUGAAAAUGGAAAUCUAGUGCCGUAUCCCUUUCAUUCUGUGGACCACUGACCUUGAGCAGAAAACAAUCUGCCGCUGAGCAACGUGCAACAUGCAAGACCCAUCCCUGAACCUGGUUCAUUGUGGACAUUUCCAUUCCAUUUGUGUGAACUGACUGAGGAAAGCAGCCCCAAGAUCUGGGCAAUGGUGUUAAGUUCCUCAGGCAUGUCUUCUGUCACUGUUGAGCUGCAGUGAAUGCUAGGCCAGAAAAUUGGCCACCCUGCACUAACAAAUCCACUCUGUGGAGCCUGGAAGAGGAAGGCUGGCAGAAAACCUCGAAAUAGAUAGCAAGCAGGGAUUACCUGCAUUAUCUUUUCAUGUCUGGAAAAUGAACUUUAAUGGAAAGGUUAUGCAAAAGGAGGUGAAACACCUUUGCUAAGCAACAAGAAUUAACCCCAGUGUUUCCACAGUAGUAUGUUUAAUAGAUAGAAUUCUUUUCAGGCAUGUGGAUUCCUCCAGACCCAGUGAGUGACAUAGUCACUGCACAUCACAGCCAGACUCACGCUCCAGCUGACACAGCAGGAAGCAAAGUAGGAUGAGCCCAAGAGAGGGGCAAAAAUGUUUUCCUGCUGAGGGUUCACUACUUGGCUGCUUGCUUUGGAGGGAAAGCAUGUAAUGGAGUGCCUCCUAAG
ensembl:lncRNA